rnacentral:lncRNA from 1 species
CCAGCGGCCCCCCAGCCCGUCCUCCCCCAGCUGAGCUUUCUGAGCUGUCUUCGUAGCGGUCACUAGUCCGAGAACUUGUCUGUUUAUUCUCCAACCAGUGAUGUGGCUCCAGCGUCCCCAUGGCAACAGCCCUGGGAGUCCUGCCCCCUCCCAGGGAACUGCCCAGAAGCUGCCCCUGCCCUCCGCAAGCCCCCGCUGGAAGCUCGCGGGAGCCAAGCAGAGGGCAGGGCGGGCCUGGCGGUGCUGGGGCGGCUCGGCGGGACCCGCCCCCCGCGCGUCAGCCGGUCCCGCGGGUGGACUGAGCCGCUCCAGGCUGCCGCCAGCACCACCCAGGCCUACUCCCGGGCCUGGCUCAGCCCGCGUCUGCGGCCAGCUGGCCCCGCUCUCCUGUGGGGCCGCCCCGAGACCACCCUCCAGAGCCGCUCAGGGCCGGGGGCUACCUGCCAACCCCACGGCUGCCCCACCCCGACUGUCCUCGGGCCCGCGCCCCUGCCAAGCCCCAACUGCCACUCCAGCUGCCACCGCCAACUGCCGCCCCAUCUCCAUUCCAAGUGCUCACCCCCAACCGUCCUUCCAAAACGCCGCUACCAACUGCCAGCACCCUUCCUUCCUGAGCCCCCUCCCACCUCCACCCUCAGGCCCCGCACCAGGGCUGUGCAUUCCAGACCUUCCCUCCGGACCGGGGCUGGGCCACACCUGCUGUGCUCCCGGAGGGGCUGGUGCCAGGGGGCAGAGGCAGGAAGCUAGAGGGGCAUCUGGGGGCCACGGGCCCAGCGGAGAGGAAAGGGUGGGAAGAAAAAGGCGCAGAAGUCGGAGGCAAGACGAGCAGAGGCGCCGUCCCCACUGCCAGCUGCAUGGCCAGGCCAGCUCGGGGGUGGGACUGCGGCGGGGCCCGGCCAGGGCAGCUGCAAGGGCUGCAAGGAGCCUCCCGGUCCUCUCUGACCUUGCCCUGGCCCCUCUGGGCAAUGGCCAGGGGCACGUAGCCUCCUCGCUCUCCAGGCCUCUGUCGGGGGGGGGUCUCUGGCCUCCGCAGACCCAGGUGGGCCCCGUUCCUGGUCUGGGCUCCCCACUGUGUCCCAUCCCGCCCCCCCUCCCCCCGCCGGGCACCCUGCACCAGCCCCAGC